CGUUAAGAUCAAUAUGCAGUCAGAAAGUUUUAUAAUUACUAUUUAUUGUAAAUUUAUCAGAAAAGCUCAAUAUUUUUUUGCAUUUUUAUGGUAAUAGAUAACUUAAAUAGAAGUAAUAGUAAUAAUUUCCUAGGAACUUUUGUUGUUUGUUGAAAAGAUUCUAUAAUUGAAAUAUUGAGAACUUAAUUAAUUUUAAUGAUUUACUUUAACUAAAUGUACCAAUCAAAACAAAGUUGUUAAAAAGAUUUACUCAAUUGAGUUUAUUAUAAAAUUUGAUUAUAUUUGUAAAAAUCAAUUGUUAAUUCAGGAGAAAAAACAAUCAUUUUUUUUAGAAAUGAUUUAUAUAGCAACACGUUAGAAAAAAAUUUGAAUAUUAUAGUCUAAUAGUAGCACACACAAACAGAGUAAUAAAAUUAUUAAAUUACAAAGUAAAAUGAUUUAAUUUUGUAGUUGAAACCUAUCAUAUCAAACUUCAUUCGUUAAUAAAUAUUUUGAAAACAUUAGAAAUUAAUGAUUUUAAUUGUCUUUAUGGAGACGAUGUAAUAACUAACUGUUUAAUUGAUAAAUUAGAAUUUUUUUUUCAAUUUUUGAGAGUAAUAUCUUCAACUAGAUACGAAUUGUAGUAAUUUGACGUAUUGUUGAAAAAAGUAGGUCAAGUUAGAGCAGAGAAAAUAAAUGAUAGUCACAAAAAAAUAUCUUCUCGGCUUUGCAUCGAAGCGAAAACUUAAAAUAUAGUAAAAUAAUUUUAAUACGAAUAAGAAAUUUCUUCUUGCAAGGGGCGACUAAAGUGAUGGGAUCCUUGAUCUUUAUUGAAGUUAUUGAAUCUAAAUGUGAUAAAAAUCAAACGAGUUAAAAUUUAUACUAACUUAAAAAGAAUUAAGAAAAAAUGCAAAAAAUUCAUUGCCAUAUGCGGGUUGGAACCUCGUACCCCAAGCGUGUAAAACAUAAAUUUUACCAACUCGGCAACCGUACGUUGCUUCCGGCGGUUGAAAAAUUGGCUAUUUAAGCUAGUUCAAAUUUCAAAGUUAUUUUUCUCGACUUAAAAGAAACAAACAUAUUUAAAUAAGUUUAACUAUCUAUACUAUAUCAAUUUUAAUUUAUAUAAUAUUUAUGAAAAUCUGUACUCCCCUUGUCAGGUAUUUUAAAAUAAAAUAAAAUACAAAACCCAGAAUUUUAACACAAAAAUAGCAUAUUUUUGCAUACGGUAGUCAUUUUCACCAUGAAGACAAAUCCAGAGGUCAAAUUUUUUUUUUUCAAAUUAAAGUAUAUUACAUAAGCUUUAAUUUAAGAUAUAUAUAAAAGUGUCAGUCUUUCCGGAACAUUUUCAAAAGUUAAGUUGAAAAAGUUCUACUUUCUAUACGCAUUUUAAAAGGUUUGCACCCCCCCUGUAUAAAGGGAAAUGGUCCGAUUUUAAAAAAAAGUAUGUCGAAUGAAAGAAGUAUAUAUAAAGUAUUUAUCAUUAAAGAAUAAAGUUGAUUCAUGCAUUUUUUAAAAAGUUAUAGCAACAUAAUGUUAAAAAAUGUAAAAUAUAAUAUCAAGAAUUUUUUCACAAAAAUAGCAUAUUUUUGCAUACGGUAGUCAUUUUCACCAUGAAGACAAGUCCAGAGGUCAAAUUUUUUUUUUUCAAAUUAAAGUAUAUUACAUUAGCUUUAAUUUAAGGUAUAUAUAAAAUUGUCAGUCUUUCCGGAACAUUUUCAAAAGUUAAGUUGAAAAAGUUAAUUUUUUGUAAAAAAGUUACCAUUUUGAAACCCCAUCCUUUGGGCUGUUAAAGGGUCAAA